GCGGCUUAAUUUGACUCAACGCGGGGUAAUUUACCAGGUAUAACAUGGUAUAAUAUUUUAUCAUGAUAGUGGUGCAUGGCCGUUUCCAAUGGAUGCUGUGAAGUAAUGAUUAAUUUCAACAAGAUGUGAGACCCUCAUUUAGACAGAUGUAGUGAUACAUAUGAAGGAGAGGAUUAAAACAGGUCCGUUAUGCCCUAAGAUAAUCUGGGUUGCACGCGCAAUACAAUAAUAUUCGAUAUUAUAAGGGAUAAUAUAAUGUAAGAUAUAUUUGAACAUGGAAUUGCUAGUAAAUUUUAUUUAAUAAGUAGAAUUGAAUGAGUCCCUGUUCUUUGUACACACCGCCCGUCGCUAUCUAAGAUGGUAUUAUCUAUGAACAAAUUUAUAAAGUGAAUAGAUAGUACUAGAUCUGAUAUAAGUCGUAACAUGGUUGCUGUUGGAGAACCAUUAGCAGGAUCAUAA
rnacentral:rRNA from 1 species